rnacentral:rRNA from 1 species
UCCGUGCCAGCAGCCGCGGUAAUACGGAGGAUCCGAGCGUUAUCCGGAAUCAUUGGGCUUUAAAGGUUCCGCAGGUGGACCAUUAAGUCAGGGGUGAAAGUCUGCCGCUCAACCGUAGAACUGCCCUUGAUACUGGUGGACUUGAGUCGUUGUGAAGUGGUUGGAAUAUGUGGUGCAGCGGUGAAAUGCAUAGAUAUCACAUACAACACCGAUUGCGAAGGCAGAUCACUAACAACGUACUGCCACUGAUGGACGAAAGCGUGGGGAGCGAAC